rnacentral:rRNA from 1 species
UACGUAGGGUGCAAGCGUUGUCCGGAAUUAUUGGGCGUAAAGAGCUCGUAGGCGGUCUGUCGCGUCGGCUGUGAAAACUCGGGGCUCAACCCCGAGCCUGCAGUCGAUACGGGCAGACUAGAGUGCUGUAGGGGAGACUGGAAUUCCUGGUGUAGCGGUGAAAUGCGCAGAUAUCAGGAGGAACACCGGUGGCGAAGGCGGGGCUCUGGGCAGUAACUGACGCUGAGGAGCGAAAGCGUGGGGAGCAAACAGG